CACACACACAUGCACAGACAAAGUAAGAUACUCGAAUCGUUCAUAUUCCUACCACCAUCACCACCUUGGCCUUUAUGCAUACUAUAACGCCCCGUAACAAGACAUCGUUAUCUGUUUUAUUUUUUAUUUUUUAUUUUUAUUUAUCUAAGUGAUGACGGAGGUCGUUGUCAUAGAUGUUAGUUCGCAUUAUCACUUUCCCACGUAUGUAAUGACUCAUGCAGUUCCUGAUUCUGACUUGUAUGUAUUUCAGGUUUUGAGAGGCGUAGUAUUGAUGUAUUUCAGGUUUUGAGAGGCGUAGUAUUGAUGUAUUUCAGGUUUUGAGAGGCGUAGUAUUGAUGUAUUUCAGGUUUUGAGAGGCGUAGUAUUGAUGUAUUUCAGGUUUUGAGAGGCGUAGUAUUGAUGUAUUUCAGGUUCUGAGAGGCGUAGUAUUGAUGUAUUUCAGGUUCUGAGAGGCGUAGUAUUGAUGUAUUUCAGGUUCUGAGAGGCGUAGUAUUGAUGUAUUUCAGGUUCUGAGAGGCGUAGUAUUGAUGUAUUUCAGGUUCUGAGAGGCGUAGUAUUGAUGUAUUUCAGGUUCUGAGAGGCGUAGUAUUGAUGUAUUUCAGGUUCUGAGAGGCGUAGUAUUGAUGUAUUUCAGGUUUUGAGAGGCGUAGUAUUGAUGUAUUUCAGGUUUUGAGAGGCGUAGUAUUGAUGUAUUUCAGGUUUUGAGAGGCGUAGCAUUGACGUAUUUAGGUUCUGAGCCGAGUGUUUUUUUUAUAUGUAUUUGUAAUUCUUGUAUGCUCAUGACAAAACAGGAAGCAUCAUUUAGUUAUUACAUUUGACUUGAACAUAUGGAGGUUACCGGGCGCUGUGUGUGUGUGUGUGUGUGUGUGUGUGUGUGUGUGAUCGUUGUGUAUAUGGUUGUUGUAAAUCAAACAAAUAUUUAUGACAGAGCAAGGACAAAUGGAGAGAGAGAGAGAGAGAGAGAGAGAGAGAGAGAGAAUUUUAAUACUACCACCUGAUAAACAUAUUCUGACAUUAUAACCUUCUACCUUCCUCUCUCCCCCAACAGUUUAAAUCUCGCCUCUAUAUGAGUCAGCAGCCUUGCCCUCCCUCCCAUCCCCUCUCCCUCCCUCCUGUGAACGAUAAAAAAGCCAUCAAAAGUUUAAACUCAAGAAGAUGACAUUAUUAGGUUGUGUUGCUAAAUGUGUCGGCUCGCGCUUACCUCGCCGACACACACACACACACACACACACACUGAGCCAUGUCGCAUUGUUUGAGCCAGAUAAGU